CCACGCGGGACCGGUCCCGCCAUUCCUGCUAAACCGCUCUUCCGAUCUAAGGCAAAAUGCCGCAAAAAAGUUGGGAAUGCAGCCCAAAUCGGGCGGUAGACUCCGUCCAAGGCUAAAUACAGGCGAGAGACCGAUAGCGAACAAGUACCGCGAGGGAAAGAUGAAAAGGACUUUGAAAAGAGAGUCAAAGAGUGCUUGAAAUUGCCGGGAGGGA
rnacentral:ncRNA from 1 species